GCCUGGGUGGCUCAGUCGGUUGAGCGUCCGACUUCGGCUCAGGUCAUGGUCUCACGGCUCAAGUGUUCAAGGGUGUGAGGGUUCAAGCCCCGCAUCGGGCU
rnacentral:tRNA from 1 species